rnacentral:rRNA from 1 species
UGCAAGUCGAACGCGAAAGUCCACUUCGGGGGACAAGUAGAGUGGCGCACGGGUGAGUAACACGUAGGUAAUCUACCUUCGGAUGGGGAAUAACAAUCGGAAACGGUUGCUAAUACCGCAUAAUGCAGCGGCACCUAAUGGUGACAGUUGUUAAAGCGGGGGAUCGAAAGACCUCGCGUCUGAAGAGGAGCCUGCGGCGGAUUAGCUAGUUGGUAAGGUAAUGGCUUACCAAGGCUACGAUCCGUAACCGGCCCGAGAGGGCGGUCGGUCACACUGACACUGACGUACGGGUCAGACUCCUACGGGAGGCAGCAGUCGGGAAUUUUGGGCAAUGGGCGAAAGCCUGACCCAGCAACGCCGCGUGAAGGAUGAAAUCCCUCGGGAUGUAAACUUCGCAAGAACGGGAAGAAUAAGUAGGGGUCAAUACCCCCUAUGAUGACGGUACCGUUUGUAAGCUCCGGCUAACUCCGUGCCAGCAGCCGCGGUAAUACGGGGGGAGCAAGCGUUGUUCGGAUUUACUGGGCGUAAAGGGCGCGUAGGCGGUCAGCACAAGUCAGUUGUGAAAUCUCCGAGCUUAACUCGGAAAGGUCAACUGAUACUGUGCGACUAGAGUGCAGAAGGGGCAACUGGAAUUCUCGGUGUAGCGGUGAAAUGCGUAGAUAUCGAGAGGAACACCUGCGGCGAAGGCGGGUUGCUGGGCUGACACUGACGCUGAGGCGCGAAAGCUAGGGGAGCGAACGGGAUUAGAUACCCCGGUAGUCCUAGCCUUAAACGAUGAAUGCUUGGUGUCUGGGGUUAUAAAGUCCCCGGGUGCCGUCGCUAACGCUUUAAGCAUUCCGCCUGGGGAGUACGGUCGCAAGACUG